UCGAUGCGUGUUUUUAUUGUAUUUAAAGUUUUAUUUAUUUAAUAGUAUUGUGAAUUAGUUUCGCUUCUUAAUUUUUUACAGAUCGAUGAUAAACGAGAGGCGGAGAGGACAUGGAAGUUCGUUUUGAUGCUAGCGUAAAAGAAGUUGUUCGAUGUGAUGUUCUUUCUAUAAAUAAUUUUGCAGAUAAUUGAGGAACAUUAUAAAAAUUCUGGAUGCCAUUAAGUUACAGACCGUUGGUUACAUCAGUCCUCCUUCGUUUCAGGGAGUAGCUGUACCUAUAGCCCAAGGGAAUGCACGAAAGUGAUUUUUUUUCCAUUGAGAAUGAAGACAGUAUGUUUUUGCUGAAGGAAGGAUUCAUGACAAUGAAUUGACUGCCCAACAUAUGAGAAGGGGGAGACUGCUGGAAAUUAAUUUGGAAACCGCUGAAACAAUAGAUUGCAGUGGCAUCUCUCCUGGCUUUGGCUUGCUCGUUACACAUUUAGACUUUAGAAUAUUAGUUUCUGCAAUUAAUUAAGGUGAGAAUGCAUAAGAUAAUUAUUGUGAAUUGCUCUUUAUUAAUCUGUUGUGGUAUUUCUUUUAAAACUUGUCUAUUCACAGUGUAAAUUGUCGUUAUCGUGAAUGUAUGGUAUUCUCACGAUUAUCUAUUGUCUGCAGUAUAAAUUGACGUUACGGCUACAGUGCAUCUAUGGUAUCUCAUUUAACAAUUAUCUAUUGUCUACAUCAUAAAUUGACGUUAUGCAUCUAUGAUUAUUUCACAUUUAUCUAUGUCAUGAUGUAAAGUGACGUUUCUCGCCAUUUUAUAAUUCAAUCUAUUUUACUUGCU